UAACGCGUGGGUAAUCUACCUGUGAAUUUGGGAUAACUCCGCGAAAGCGGGGCUGAUACCGGAUAAUAUUUCAGGAUUUUCGGGUACUUGAAAUCAAAACGUGGCCUCUACAUGUAAGCUUCUGUUUGGAGAUGAGCCCGCGUACCAUUAGCUUGUUGGUAGGGUAAUGGCCUACCAAGGCUACGAUGGUUAGCUGGUCUGAGAGGAUGAUCAGCCACACUGGAGCUGAUACACGGUCCAUGACUCUUACGGGAGGCAGC
rnacentral:rRNA from 1 species